rnacentral:tRNA from 1 species
CGUUAGCUCAAUGGUAGAGCAGUUGACUCUUAAUCAAUUGGUUGAGUGUUCGAGUCACUCACG